GGUAAAAUGGCCGAGCGGCUAGGCGGCGGGCUGUAGACCUGCUCAGGGGGUUUAACUCCUCUUUUAUCA
rnacentral:tRNA from 1 species